rnacentral:lncRNA from 1 species
GAAUCUGACUGCUCUCCCGCUCGCCCUGCACUUACCAUCAUCGCCCCGUUUCCUACUCUUCAGGCUGCUCUUCCGACCCAUGAGAACACACAUCCCCAAGAAAUCCAGGACUUAGCUUGCUACUUAGAUCUUGGUGUGAGGUACACAUUCUUUGGCUGAAGAAGCUGCUUGAUACCAUGAAGUACCAAGUUACAUUUGUUCCCGUUGAUUCAAAGAACACUGGUUCCCGCUGCAAGCCCAAGACCACCAUAAUCAUCAUUGAGCUUGCUACUCCACCCCAGGGUCUCUAAAUAAAACCUCCUCUUUCUUGGAA